rnacentral:rRNA from 1 species
UUGAUAGGCUGGGUGUGGAAGCGCAGUAAUGCGUUCAGCUAACCAGUACUAAUUGCCCGUGCGGCUUGAUCCU